GUCCUGGUAAUUUAAUGGCUAGAAUGGAUUCCUAACCCGUAUCUUGAAGAGGUUCGAUUCCUCUCCGGGACA